CCUACGGGAGGCAGCAGUGAGGAAUAUUGGUCAAUGGGCGCAAGCCUGCACCAGCCAAGUCGCGUGAGGGAUGACGGUCCUAUGGAUUGUAAACCUCUUUUGUCGGGGAGCAAGGCCCGCCACGUGUGGCGGGACGGAGAGUACCCGAAGAAAAAGCAUCGUCUAACUCCGUGCCAGCAGCCGCGGUAAUACGGAGGAUGCGAGCUUUAUCCGGAUUUAUUGGGUUUAAAGGGUGCGUAGGCGGAAGGUUAAGUCAGCGGUCAAAUGUCGGUGCUCAACACCGGCCUGCCGUUGAAACUGGUGUUCUUGAGUGAGCGAGAAGUAGGCGGAAUGCGUGGUGUAGCGGUGAAAUGCAUAGAUAUCACGAAGAACCCCGAUUGCGAAGGCAGCUUACUAAACUGUGACUGACAUUGAUGCUCGAAAGUGUGGGUAUCAAACAGGAUUAGAUACCCGAGUAGUC
rnacentral:rRNA from 1 species